UUCCCCCAGUCCCCACCCCCACAGUUCCCUUCAGGUCAAUACUGCAGGAUUUGACCUGGCCCUUUCCUUCCCCCUACACUCACACUUGGAUGUCUGUAGCCUCUUGUGUGGAGAACGGUGACCUGAGUCUCCGUAGAUGGCUUUAAGGCUCCCAUCGGAGAGCAGCAGCCAUGGCCCUGCCCUACCCGAUGGUUGUGGCUUCUUCAAUAAGGGCCACAAGGUGAGGAAGGGCGUCAGCACCCUACAAGCGGCACAUCCUGGAGCUUCUCAAGGUGUCUAAGGACAAGCACACGCUCAAGUUCAUCAAGAAGAGGGUGGGCAUGCACAGCCGUGCCCAGAGGAAGCAGGAGGAGCUGAGCAAAGCGCUGGCAGCUAUGUGGCCAAGAAGGACUGAUGCCCUCUCCCCGCUAUAAACAAAAAAGGCAAACAAACAAACAAACAACAACCUGACACUUUUCUGAAGGGGAUAUACAGACACAUAAAAAGAUCUUUUAAGGA